GUCUACAGCCAUACCACCUUAAAUGUGCCCAAACUCAUCUCAUCCCAGAAGCUAAGCAGAGUCAGUCCUCAUUGGUACUUGGAUGGGAGAACAGAAGAAAGGAAAAUGUUCCCA
ensembl:rRNA 5S_rRNA 5S ribosomal RNA